GGGUUGUGAGGUUAAGCGACUAAGCGUACACGGUGGAUGCCCUGGCAGUCAGAGGCGAUGAAGGACGUGCUAAUCUGCGAUAAGCGUCGGUAAGGUGAUAUGAACCGUUAUAACCGGCGAUUUCCGAAUGGGGAAACCCAGUGUGUUUCGACACACUAUCAUUAACUGAAUCCAUAGGUUAAUGAGGCGAACCGGGGGAACUGAAACAUCUAAGUACCCCGAGGAAAAGAAAUCAACCGAGAUUCCCCCAGUAGCGGCGAGCGAACGGGGAGCAGCCCAGAGCCUGAAUCAGUGUGUGUGUUAGUGGAAGCGUCUGGAAAGGCGCGCGAUACAGGGUGACAGCCCCGUACACAAAAAUGCACAUGCUGUGAGCUCGAUGAGUAGGGCGGGACACGUGGUAUCCUGUCUGAAUAUGGGGGGACCAUCCUCCAAGGCUAAAUACUCCUGACUGACCGAUAGUGAACCAGUACCGUGAGGGAAAGGCGAAAAGAACCCCGGCGAGGGGAGUGAAAAAGAACCUGAAACCGUGUACGUACAAGCAGUGGGAGCACGCUUAGGCGUGUGACUGCGUACCUUUUGUAUAAUGGGUCAGCGACUUAUAUUCUGUAGCAAGGUUAACCGAAUAGGGGAGCCGAAGGGAAACCGAGUCUUAACUGGGCGUUAAGUUGCAGGGUAUAGACCCGAAACCCGGUGAUCUAGCCAUGGGCAGGUUGAAGGUUGGGUAACACUAACUGGAGGACCGAACCGACUAAUGUUGAAAAAUUAGCGGAUGACUUGUGGCUGGGGGUGAAAGGCCAAUCAAACCGGGAGAUAGCUGGUUCUCCCCGAAAGCUAUUUAGGUAGCGCCUCGUGAAUUCAUCUCCGGGGGUAGAGCACUGUUUCGGCAAGGGGGUCAUCCCGACUUACCAACCCGAUGCAAACUGCGAAUACCGGAGAAUGUUAUCACGGGAGACACACGGCGGGUGCUAACGUCCGUCGUGAAGAGGGAAACAACCCAGACCGCCAGCUAAGGUCCCAAAGUCAUGGUUAAGUGGGAAACGAUGUGGGAAGGCCCAGACAGCCAGGAUGUUGGCUUAGAAGCAGCCAUCAUUUAAAGAAAGCGUAAUAGCUCACUGGUCGAGUCGGCCUGCGCGGAAGAUGUAACGGGGCUAAACCAUGCACCGAAGCUGCGGCAGCGACGCUUAUGCGUUGUUGGGUAGGGGAGCGUUCUGUAAGCCUGUGAAGGUGUGCUGUGAGGCAUGCUGGAGGUAUCAGAAGUGCGAAUGCUGACAUAAGUAACGAUAAAGCGGGUGAAAAGCCCGCUCGCCGGAAGACCAAGGGUUCCUGUCCAACGUUAAUCGGGGCAGGGUGAGUCGACCCCUAAGGCGAGGCCGAAAGGCGUAGUCGAUGGGAAACAGGUUAAUAUUCCUGUACUUGGUGUUACUGCGAAGGGGGGACGGAGAAGGCUAUGUUGGCCGGGCGACGGUUGUCCCGGUUUAAGCGUGUAGGCUGGUUUUCCAGGCAAAUCCGGAAAAUCAAGGCUGAGGCGUGAUGACGAGGCACUACGGUGCUGAAGCAACAAAUGCCCUGCUUCCAGGAAAAGCCUCUAAGCAUCAGGUAACAUCAAAUCGUACCCCAAACCGACACAGGUGGUCAGGUAGAGAAUACCAAGGCGCUUGAGAGAACUCGGGUGAAGGAACUAGGCAAAAUGGUGCCGUAACUUCGGGAGAAGGCACGCUGAUAUGUAGGUGAAGUCCCUUGCGGAUGGAGCUGAAAUCAGUCGAAGAUACCAGCUGGCUGCAACUGUUUAUUAAAAACACAGCACUGUGCAAACACGAAAGUGGACGUAUACGGUGUGACGCCUGCCCGGUGCCGGAAGGUUAAUUGAUGGGGUCAGCGCAAGCGAAGCUCUUGAUCGAAGCCCCGGUAAACGGCGGCCGUAACUAUAACGGUCCUAAGGUAGCGAAAUUCCUUGUCGGGUAAGUUCCGACCUGCACGAAUGGCGUAAUGAUGGCCAGGCUGUCUCCACCCGAGACUCAGUGAAAUUGAACUCGCUGUGAAGAUGCAGUGUACCCGCGGCAAGACGGAAAGACCCCGUGAACCUUUACUAUAGCUUGACACUGAACAUUGAGCCUUGAUGUGUAGGAUAGGUGGGAGGCUUUGAAGUGUGGACGCCAGUCUGCAUGGAGCCGACCUUGAAAUACCACCCUUUAAUGUUUGAUGUUCUAACGUUGACCCCUAAUCGGGGUUGCGGACAGUGUCUGGUGGGUAGUUUGACUGGGGCGGUCUCCUCCUAAAGAGUAACGGAGGAGCACGAAGGUUGGCUAAUCCUGGUCGGACAUCAGGAGGUUAGUGCAAUGGCAUAAGCCAGCUUGACUGCGAGCGUGACGGCGCGAGCAGGUGCGAAAGCAGGUCAUAGUGAUCCGGUGGUUCUGAAUGGAAGGGCCAUCGCUCAACGGAUAAAAGGUACUCCGGGGAUAACAGGCUGAUACCGCCCAAGAGUUCAUAUCGACGGCGGUGUUUGGCACCUCGAUGUCGGCUCAUCACAUCCUGGGGCUGAAGUAGGUCCCAAGGGUAUGGCUGUUCGCCAUUUAAAGUGGUACGCGAGCUGGGUUUAGAACGUCGUGAGACAGUUCGGUCCCUAUCUGCCGUGGGCGCUGGAGAACUGAGGGGGGCUGCUCCUAGUACGAGAGGACCGGAGUGGACGCAUCACUGGUGUUCGGGUUGUCAUGCCAAUGGCACUGCCCGGUAGCUAAAUGCGGAAGAGAUAAGUGCUGAAAGCAUCUAAGCACGAAACUUGCCCCGAGAUGAGUUCUCCCUGACCCUUUAAGGGUCCUGAAGGAACGUUGAAGACGACGACGUUGAUAGGCCGGGUGUGUAAGCGCAGCGAUGCGUUGAGCUAACCGGUACUAAUGAACCGUGAGGCUUAACCUUACAACGCCGAAGCUGUU
rnacentral:rRNA from 1 species